AAUCAACGCUGGCGGCGUGCCUAACACAUGCAAGUCGAUCGGUAACAGGUGUAGCAAUACAUGCUGACGAGAGGCGGACGGGUGAGUAAUGCUUGGGAAUCUGCCUAUUAGUGGGGGACAACCCGGGAAACUCGGGCUAAUACCGCAUACGCUCUACGGAGGAAAGCCGGGGACCGGCAAGGCCUGGCGCUAAUAGAUGAGCCCAAGUCGGAUUAGCUAGUUGGUAGGGUAACGGCCUACCAAGGCGACAAUCCGUAGCUGGUCUGAGAGGACGACCAGCCACACCGGAACUGAGACACGGUCCGGACUCCUACGGGAGGCAGCAGU
rnacentral:rRNA from 1 species